rnacentral:lncRNA from 1 species
UAAAACACCAACAUGGGAUUCAUGCAGCCUUUUCUGGAGCAGUCCAAGAAGGGACAGUGACCGUAUGGUCAAAAGAAAAUUGGUCAGUCUCUUUCUGUAAUAAUUCAGUUAGCCUCAUCUCCAGGGCAACUUUUAGAGUUUCUUUCCCAACAUUUUCUAGAAACUUUGCAUCAAGGUGAUGCUGAAUAGCCCAGAUCACUCAAUCCACCAACUUUUUCCUGAAGUCCUCUAGCUUUUUCUGAAGUCUGGUCCCCAAGCCUGGUCCCAUUAAAAGUGCCUUCUACUUUCCCCCUCACACCCCCUGCCAGGUCUGCCAUGUUUCUAUGCCCCACUGGCCUUAUACCACCUCUUGGCUGCCUCCUGUGACCCAGCACUUGGCUCCUGGAGAGCAUCCAGAAUUCCACAAUUAUUUUUCUCUCUUUUCCCUCGGCAUUUCCCACAUCUUCUCUUGGUGCUGUGCUCUCAGUGGGAUGGCUUUGCUGUAGGCACACCAUCCCGGUACCAGAGCAAAGCCUCUAGGGACAGAGGUGCAGGAAGAAAAAGUAAACUCAGGCUAGGGGUCUAAUCGAAGCUGUAGCUGCCGGCCUACACCAGAGCCACAGCAGUGAAGGAUCUAGGCUGCAUCUGUGACCUACACCACAGCUCACAGCAAUGCUGGAUCCUUAGCCCACUGAGCAAGGCCAGGGAUCGAACCCGCAACCUCAUGGUUCCUAGUCAGAUUUGUUAACCACUGAGCCAUGACGGGAGCUCCAAGACCCUCUCUUCAUCUCUUUACUAAAAUGGUAGGGUCUUGCUCUUCACACAGUCCAAUUUUUCCCUUCCCUCUCCUCUCUCCUCCUUCCUGUGUCUCUUCUUCCCUCCCUCCCUACUGGUCCACACUCUUUCCCUUUCUGGUGCCUUCCCCUUUCCCCUCUCUCCUUCUGUCCUUCCUCCUAAUUUCAUUGAAUGAGUUCCUUGGUCCAGUCUUGCUGUGGCCAAGGGUUACAAAGCUGCAUUGAGACAGAGCCCUUACCUUCUAGGAGAUCAAGGUCUUGUGAGGAGAUCAGAAUGAAUAGUUUUCUCUAUUAUUCGGACCAUCUUCUUCAUUCCCUUCGAAUGAAAUCAAAGAGCUGUUGGAAGCCCAGUCCUGCUACUCUGGUAUUGAGUUGACCUUGGGUCCUGGGAAUUAAAAAAGACACUGUAACCCAAAGCUCAGGCAACCUAUUAAAUCAAGUCCAGCCCUACCCUUCUCAUGUUUGUUUACCAAUCAUUACAGACAUUUGUCAACAUUAUAGGCUUUCAGUCCAUGGUAGAAGUAAACCCUCAGCAUCCUCUUUCUAAGAAGGAAUUGAGGAAUUGCAUUUAAUGAAGAAUGGCUUUCCCAACCUCAGAAACAGCUUCAUCUAUUGUAAGGGGAGCACUCAGUGGCUCAAUCCAUAAGGCUAGGUACAGCAUACAAUGCAGAUUUCAUUUUCUGGGUUAAGAGUAAGGAAGAGAUAUUGAACACUUACUCUGUGCCAGGCAGUAUACCACAUGGUCCACCGGGGUCUCUCACCUUCUCAUUGUCAUUCUCACGCACCAAGUAGGUAGUGUGAGAACCAUUAAUUGUACACUAGGAACGUGAGAUGUCAAGCCGUUAGAAUCUUCAUUUCAGCAUAGUUCAUGGAGAAGUAUUGCUGGGGUGCCUAUUAUGUGCCAGGCUCUGCUGAAGGCACUUGAAAUACAUGAUUAAAAAAGUCUUGCCCUUGGAAAGUGUACAUUCUACCGAGACUGGGCAGGCAGGAUGGAUAAUACAUUAUAAGUAUAAUCAAUUAGUAAAUUAUGAAGUACAGUAGAUAUUGAUAAGGGCCUUGGGAAAAAAGAAAAUGUGGAGCAAGGUCAGGGAAUUGAAAGUGGUCAGGGGUUAGCAGAUUAUAGCAUUAAGUGGAAUAGGCAGGUGAACUUCAUUGGAGAAGUCAGGAGUUCUGUAAAAUAUGCAAAAUACUUAUAAAGACCACUCUGCCCUAUAAUCUCACUAAAAAGGUUGAGGAACUCAUAUAACAAGUCUUUGUUGAGCUGGAUGAUGCAAGAAUGGUUUAUCCUGUCAGACCUUUGGUCCCUAAGGGCUUAGAGUUUCUCUAGGUAGACCUGUUAGCUCCCAGGAAAUGAUCCGGUGCUUAAGGGAAUAGGGCGGAUGAAUUUUCAGGAGUUCAGAGGAGGCAGGAUUGGAUGUGGCUAAGUACCUCCCAGAGGAAAAAGACACAGUACAUGUUAAGAGUCCCUGCCACUGACUCGUGGAGAUUCCAAGCUUUAUCCGGAGGGCUGCGAAUCUCUCAGGGAACUUAAGUGGUGAAGUGAUUCAGAGCUUGUCUUCAUGGUCAGACUACCUUUUGAAUCUUCGUUCCACCAUUUGGUGAUGUUUGCUGGGUUCCUUCACCUCGUUGAGAUUUGCUUUCUUCCUUUAUAAAAUGAGGAUAUUGAUACUUAGCUCAAAGUGUUGUUGUAAAGCUGACGUGAGGAUUGUUGACAAUGUUUAGUGUGGGGUCUACUGUGUCACGACAGUGAUUAUUUUUAUCUAUCCUCAUAGGUAGGAUCACCAGAGGUAUUUUUUUUUAAUUAUUUUUUAUUUAAAAAUGUUUUAGACCCCUGGCCUGGGAACGUCCAUAUACCGUGGGUAGCGGCCCUAGAAAAAGACCAAUAACUAAAUAAAUUAAUUAAUUAAAAUGUUUUAAUAUAUUUUUUGCCUUCACCAGCAGUAUGCAGAAAUUCCUGGGCUAGGGAUCGAACCCGCACCACAGCAGCAAUGUGAGCCACAGCAGUGACAAUGCUUCCUCCUUAACCCACUCUGCCACCAGGGAACUCCCUCACCUGAGGUUUUGUUCCAAGAUAGAAUCUGCUGGCAAGAUGGCUGAGAUUACAAUUAAGUCUCACAAAGGCAGGGGCGGAGGCCAGGUGAGGAGCCUGGCAUAGGGAAGCCUUGGCACCUCUCGUUCCUCUUUCCUGCACGAGGCCAACUUUCCAGAACAGCAUAUGGACCAAAAGGAGCUCUCGAGGAUUUUUCUCAGCAGGUGAAUGUGUAAACAAAUAACAGGGCAGAGAGUCGUGGCUUAUGGAUUCCUGUAGAUCAGCCGUUACAAGAAGUCACCCCUGGGACUGCCAUCUGUUCCCAUCCUCUCUAGCCUUGCCACAUCCCAUCUCCAACCCAGACUGUAAUUCCAAAAGCACAAAUAAAGGACUGAGGUCCUUGGCAUGGGCUGAGGGCAGCCUUAUGUGGAGGCUCUUUUUUUUUUUUUAAAGGACUGCACCUGCAGCAUAUGGAAGUUCCCAGGCUAGGGUUUGAAUUGUAGCUGCAGCUUCAGGGCUAUACCACAGCCACAGCAGUGCCAGAUCUGUGCUACAUCUGCAACCUAUGCCGUAGCUUGCAGCAAAGCCAGAUCCUUAACCCACUGAGCAAGGCCAGGGAUCAAACCCGCAUCCUCACAGAGACUAGUUGGGUUCUUAACCUGCUGAACCACAACCGGAACUCUGUGAUUUUUUUUUUUUUUCUUCCUUGUUUUUAAGGGACAUGGAGAUUAGGUUUAGAGACUCUGAGAUUAGGUGGGUCUGGGUGGUAAUACAGGAAGGGCUUUGAGGACCUUCACUCUUUAGGAAAUACUCUGUGACUGAUUGAUAUAUUCAGAAAACCCUGCUGCCAACAGUGUGUCAGCUUCUGCCCUAGAGGUCAGGUAACCAAAUCUAUUGGAGGAACAGGCCCUGCCCUCAGGGAUCUUCUAGCCCUGUGUAGUGGUCCUUCAGGGGUGGCCCAUGAGAGCAGUGUUUGGAUGAUAAUAACCCCUGAGUGCUUACCUUGGAUCAGGUAAUAUUCUAAACAUUUUGUGGAUUGAGUCAUUUGUAUAUCACAAUAGCCCUGGGAAAUAGAUAUAGUUAUUAUCUCCAAUUUAUAGUCGAGGAAACUUAUAGCAGAGAGGGGAUAGAUAACUCACCCAAGGAUGCACCCAUAAAGUAAUGAACACUUAAAGUAUCAGAUUUCCCAGAUAUCUGGGUUUUCAGCUUCUCCUUAAAAGAUCUGAAGAUGGAUGGACAUGGCUGGGCUCGCAUCCUGCUUGGCAACAGCCAGCAGCAGUUGAGUGGCUGCUCACCCUGCUGGUUGGCUGCAGUCCUCACUGCUCCAUAUUGCCUCACCCUCUUCUCUGUUUGUGCUGACUACCGGGCCUCCUCUACCCUUGGUGAGCAACCCUGAGUUAUGCUGGUUUUCAAGUUUAUUUAAUGAACAUGGCAGCCCUCCAGGCUUAGAAAACAGUCAACCUUAGGAAAAGUGAAAUUUUGAAACCUGGGGGAAGAGAGGGGAGGUGAGCUAGAGGGAAAGGCUAGUGGACAAUGCCUAGAGUGGAAAAGCUAUCUUGCCUCUAUAUUACAUAUAAAUGAGACGCUGCCUCUCUAGUUCUUUAGAUCCGGAGUCCAGAUUACAUGGGUUCUUCUGUCAGGACCUGGUUUUUGUCACCUGGCUCUGCUGAAUCCCAGCCUGGGUGGGGACGGGGGUGUGGAUAGGGUGAGUGUUUAUCUCUCUUCCUUUUUCCUUUAGAGUUUCCUUUCUUUGUUUCCACCUUAAAAAAAAUUGCACAUCUUGUUUUUGAAUAAAAAAAUAGAAAGUACACACACACACACACACACACACACAGAAGGGAGUUCCUGUCAUGGCUCAGUAGUGAGGAACCUGACUAGUAUCCAUGAGGAUGCAGGUUUGAUCUCUGGCCUUGCUCAGUGGGGUUAAGGAUCCUGCAUUGCUGGGGCUGUGGUGUAGGCCGGCAGCUAUAGCUCCGAUUUGACCAUGUGUAUGCCACAGGUGUGGCCCUAAAAAAAAAAAAAUGAAGACAGCCAGUAUCCACAAUCCCUCCUAAGCUUAACUACUCUCCUAUGUAGUGUACCUUCAUUUUAUAUAUGUCUCUAUUUUUAUAUCCUAUGUAAUAUUUAUAUCUUUAAUAGAGUAAUAUAUAUAUGCUUGCUCUAUACAUACAAGGUAUAUGUUUAUAUUAUAAAAUUUGAAUCAAUAUACUUAGUGUUUUGCAAACAAUAUGUAGUGUUUUGAAAUUUGUUUUUCACUUAAUAACAUAUCAUGAACAUUAUCCAUGUCAGCAGCUGCAUCUGUGGUUUUAAAAGUAUGCAGAGUGUUCCCUUUUUUGGUGUACCAUAAUUUCUUUAACUGGUUAAUGCUUUGGAUGUUUCCAGACUUUUGUUUUGGCAUACAUCCUGGAUUAUUGGCUUGACAAAUUUCCAGGAGAAAAUCGUGCCAUCAAAGGGUGAGGAGGAGUUCCUGUCGUGGCGCAGUGGAAACGAAUCCGACUGGGAACCAUGAGGUUGUGGGUUCAAUCCCUGGUCUCGCUCAGUGGGUUAAGGAUCCAGUGUUGCUGUGAGCUUUGGUGUAGAUCGCAGAUGUGGCUUGGAUCUGGCAUUGCUGUGGCUCUGGUGUAGGCUGGCAGCAACAGCUCCGAUUAGACCUCUAGCUUGGGAACCUCUAUAUGCUGUGGGUGCAGCCCUAAAAAGACAAAAGGCAAAAGAUUUAAAAAAAAAAAAGAGAGUUCCCAUCAUGGCAUAGUGGUUAAUGAAUCCGACUAGGAACCGUCAAGGACGAGGGUUUGAUCCCUGGCCUCGCUCAGUGGGUUAAGGAUCCGGUGUUGCUGUGAGCUGUGGUGUAGGUUGCAGACGUGGCUGGGAUCCUGAGUUGCUGUGGCUCUGGCGUAGGCCAGCGGCUGCAGCUCCAAUUAGACCCCUAGCCUGGGAAUCUCCAUAUGCUGAGGGAGCGGCCCUAGAAAAGGCAAAAAAAAAAAAAAGACAAAAAAAAAAAA